rnacentral:rRNA from 1 species
GACGAACGCUGGCGGCGUGCUUAACACAUGCAAGUCGAACGGACAGGCCCUGCUUUUGUGGGGUGCUCGAGUGGCGAACGGGUGAGUAACACGUGAGUAACCUGCCCUUGACUUUGGGAUAACUUCAGGAAACUGGGGCUAAUACCGGAUAGGAGCUCCUGCUGCAUGGUGGGGGUUGGAAAGUUUCGGCGGUUGGGGAUGGACUCGCGGCUUAUCAGCUUGUUGGUGGGGUAGUGGCUUACCAAGGCUUUGACGGGUAGCCGGCCUGAGAGGGUGACCCGCCACAUUGGGACUGAGAUACGGCCCAGACUCCUACGGGAGGCAGCAGUGGGGAAUAGUACACAAUGGGCGGAAGCCUGAUGCAGCAACGCCGCGUGCGGGAUGACGGCCUUCGGGUUGUAAACCGCUUUCGCCUGUGACGAAGCGUGAGUGACGGUAAUGGGUAAAGAAGCACCGGCUAACUACGUG